AGUAACACGUGGAUAACCUACCUAUAAGACUGGGAUAACUUCGGGAAACCGGAGCUAAUACCGGAUAAUAUUUUGAACCGCAUGGUUCAAAAGUGAAAGACGGUCUUGCUGUCACUUAUAGAUGGAUCCGCGCUGCAUUAGCUAGUUGGUAAGGUAACGGCUUACCAAGGCAACGAUGCAUAGCCGACCUGAGAGGGCGAUCGGCCACACUGGAACUGAGACACGGUCCAG
rnacentral:rRNA from 1 species